rnacentral:rRNA from 1 species
AUUGAACGCUGGCGGCAUGCCUUACACAUGCAAGUCGAACGGUAACAGGUCUUCGGAUGCUGACGAGUGGCGAACGGGUGAGUAAUACAUCGGAACGUGCCCGAUCGUGGGGGAUAACGAAGCGAAAGCUUUGCUAAUACCGCAUAAGAUCUACGGAUGAAAGCAGGGGACCGCAAGGCCUUGCGCGAACGGAGCGGCCGAUGGCAGAUUAGGUAGUUGGUGGGAUAAAAGCUUACCAAGCCGACGAUCUGUAGCUGGUCUGAGAGGACGACCGACCACACGGGGACGGGGACACGGCCCAGACUCCUACGGGAGGCAGCAGUGGGGAAUCUUGGACAAAGGGCGCAAGCCUGAUCCAGCAAGGCCGCGUGCAGGAAGAAGGCCUUCGGGUUGUAAACUGCUUUUGUACGGAACGAAACGGUCCGGGUUAAUACCCUGGGCUAAUGACGGUACCGUAAGAAUAAGCACCGGCUAACUACGUGCCAGCAGCCGCCGUAACAC